GGCCAGACUCCUACGGGAGGCAGCAGUGAGGAAUAUUGGUCAAUGGGCGGGAGCCUGAACCAGCCAAGUCGCGUGAGGGAAGACGGUCCUACGGAUUGUAAACCUCUUUUGCCGGGGAGCAAGGGCGGGGACGUGUCCCGGCCCGGAGAGUACCCGGAGAAAAAGCAUCGGCUAACUCCGUGCCAGCAGCCGCGGUAAUACGGAGGAUGCGAGCGUUAUCCGGAUUUAUUGGGUUUAAAGGGUGCGUAGGCGGGCUUUAAGUCAGCGGUAAAAAUUCGGGGCUCAACCCCGGCCUGCCGUCGGAACUGGGUGCCUUGAGUGGGCGAGAAGUAUGCGGAAUGCGUGGUGUAGCGGUGAAAUGCAUAGAUAUCACGCAGAACCCCGAUUGCGAAGGCAGCAUACCGGCGCCCUACUGACGCUGAGGCACGAAAGUGCGGGUAUCGAACAGGAUUAGAUCCCCCUGUA
rnacentral:rRNA from 1 species